rnacentral:rRNA from 1 species
GAUCCUGGCUCAGGAUGAACGCUGGCGGCGUGCUUAACACAUGCAAGUCGAACGAAGCACUUAAGAAUGAUUCUUCGGAUGAAUUUUUUUGUGACUUAGUGGCGGACGGGUGAGUAACGCGUGGGUAACCUGCCUCACACAGGGGGAUAACAGUUGGAAACGACCGCUAAUACCGCAUAACCCGCUAGGGCCGCAUGGCCUGGACGGAAAAGAUUUAUCGGUGUGAGAUGGACCCGCGUUGGAUUAGCUAGUUGG